rnacentral:rRNA from 1 species
AUUGAACGCUAGCGGGAUGCUUUACACAUGCAAGUCGAACGGCAGCGCGGACUUCGGUCUGGCGGCGAGUGGCGAACGGGUGAGUAAUGUAUCGGAACGUGCCCAGUAGCGGGGGAUAACUACGCGAAAGCGUAGCUAAUACCGCAUACGCCCUACGGGGGAAAGCAGGGGAUCGUAAGACCUUGCACUAUUGGAGCGGCCGAUAUCGGAUUAGCUAGUUGGUGAGGUAACGGCUCACCAAGGCGACGAUCCGUAGCUGGUUUGAGAGGACGACCAGCCACACUGGGACUGAGACACGGCCCAGACUCCUACGGGAGGCAGCAGUAGGGAAUUUUGGACAAUGGGGGCAACCCUGAUCCAGCCAUCCCGCGUGUGCGAUGAAGGCCUUCGGGUUGUAAAGCACUUUUGGCAGGAAAGAAACGUCGCGGGCUAAUACCCCGUGGAACUGACGGUACCUGCAGAAUAAGCACCGGCUAACUACGUG